UUUCCGUAGGUGAACCUGCGGAAGGAUCAUUAUUGUAUAACCGAGGUGCGAGGGCUGUGGCUGACCCGAAAGGUCGUGCACGCCCGAGUGCCCUCACACACAUCCAUCUCACCCCUAUGUGCACCACCGCGUGGGUCCCCCUUUGGCUUGUUCGGAGGGGGGCUUACGUUUUCACACAAACUUUGUAUGCAGUGUAGAAUGUAUUUUUUGUUUUUGCGAUCACGCAAUCAAUACAACUUUCAACAACGGAUCUCUUGGCUCUC
rnacentral:misc_RNA from 1 species